rnacentral:rRNA from 1 species
GUAGGUGGAUAUUAAGUCAGAGGUGAAAGUUUGCGGCUCAACCCGUAAAAUUGCCUUUGAUACUGGCUAUCUUGAAUCAUUGUGAAGUGGUUAGAAUAAUGUAGUGUAGCGGUGAAAUGCAUAGAUAUUACAUAGAAUACCAAUUGCGAAGGCAGAUCACUAACAAUGUAUUGACACUGAUGGACGAAAGCGUGGGGAGCGAACGGGAUUAGAUACCCCGGUAGUCCACGCCGUAAACGAUGGUCACUAGCUGUUCGGACUUCGGUCUGAGUGGCUAAGCGAAAGUGAUAAGUAACCCACCUGGGGAGUACGUUCGCAAGAAUGAAACUCAAAGGAAUUGACGGGGGCCCGCACAAGCGGUGGAGCAUGUGGUUUAAUUCGAUGAUACGCGAGGAACCUUACCAGGGCUUAAAUGUAGUAUGACCGGCUUGGAAACAGGCCUUCUCUUCGGAGCAGAUUACAAGGUGCUGCAUGGCU